rnacentral:misc_RNA from 1 species
GAUGAAGAACGUAGCGAAAUGCGAUACUUGGUGUGAAUUGCAGAAUCCCGUGAACCAUCGAGUCUUUGAACGCAAGUUGCGCCCGAAGCCACUAGGCCGAGGGCACGCCUGCCUGGGCGUCACACGCCGUUGCCCCCCCAUCUACUCCUUCGGGAUUGCGGGGGGGCGGAUGAUGGCCUCCCGUGCGCCUAGCCGCGCGGUUGGCAUAAAUACCAAGUCCUCGGCGACGCACGCCACGACAAUCGGUGGUUGCGAAACCUCGGUUGCACGUCGUGUGCGUUCGUCGCGCAUCGAGGGCUCGAAAAAAUGCUCGGCUCCGGCUGGGCUUUCAACGCGACCCCAGGUCAGGCGGGGUUACCCGCUGAAUUUAAGCAUAUCAAUAAGCGGAGGA